rnacentral:rRNA from 1 species
AUUGAACGCUGGCGGCAGGCCUAACACAUGCAAGUCGAGCGGAGCGGCGGACGGGUGAGUAAUGCCUAGGAAUCUGCCUGGUAGUGGGGGAUAACGUCCGGAAGCGGGCGCUAAUACCGCAUACUAUCAGAUGAGCCUAGGUCGUAUGAGCUAGUUGGUGGGGUAAAGGCUUACCAAGGCGACGAUCCGUAUCUGGACUGAGAGGAUGAUCAGUAACACUGGAACUGGGACACGGUCCAGACUCCUACGGGAGGCAGCGGUGGGGAAUCUUGGACAAGGGGCGAAAGCCUGAUCCAGCCAAGCCGCGUGUGUGAAGAAGGUCUUCGGAUUGUAAAGCACUUUAAGUUGGGAAGCGUUACCUACAGAAUAAGCACCGGCUAACUUCGUGCCAGCAGCCGCGGUAAUAC